UACGAAGGUGGCAAGCGUUGUUCGGAUUUACUGGGCGUAAAGGGAGCGUAGGUGGUUAGGUAAGCCCUCCGGGAAAUCUUCAGGCUUAACCUGAAAAGGUCGGGGGGGACUGCCUAGCUAGAGGGCGGGAGAGGAGCGCGGAAUUCCCGGUGUAGCGGUGAAAUGCGUAGAGAUCGGGAGGAAGGCCGGUGGCGAAGGCGACUACCUGGCCUGUUCUUGACGCUGAGGCGCGAAAGCUAGGGGAGCAAACGGG
rnacentral:rRNA from 1 species